AAAAAUGUUUUUUGCUAUUCUUUACUACUAAUUUUUUCAACAACAAAUAUGUGAUCAUAUGUGUUAUACAAAAGAGGAAAUUACAUCCAAAAGGUAUUACAUAAAAAAAAAAAUGAAACCCCAAAAAUUGGUGAAUUGUUAGACAGGUUACCAUUACAUUUAAUGUUGAGAGGUGAAUCAAUAGAUGAACUGGUGGCAAAUCUUGACACUGUGCAGUCUGUAAAAAGCUCAAGUAGUUCUUACAUUGAUCAUAAAAAUGAAACAGUCAGAUUCUUGCUUCCUUUCCUUUCCCUUCAUUUUUGCCACUAGAUGGCAGUAUUGAAUUUCCGAUAUAAAUAGUGAACUAGAACGAGUUGAGAGUUGUUUAUUUAAAAGUGGGUGAAAUGGAGUUCCGUAAGAGAUUUGAGAACAGCAAAGGUAACCUUAGGAUUGUUUAUAGCUUUUCAAGCACUUUCCUAGAAAUGUCGGUAAGCACAAGUCGAACGUUUCUGGUUUUUCGUCCUUCUGGCUUAUAGCACAGUUUCCAGUAUGGGCCAAGCAAAGCAUAUUUACUGAGAGGCAAAACAAGAUCAACUCAAUGAUUAUACAAAAAGAAUAUUGCCUGGAUGAGCAAGUUUACUGUAUCUGCUGUAGCUCAGACGGACCCACUACUGUGGUGAAUGCAUUCCUUGUUAUUAUGUAAAUAACUGUAACAAGUGUGACUUGAUGAAAACCGUGCCAGCUGUUUUAGUACUGAAUCUAUCUCACUUUUGGCCCCUAGGUGUCUUGUAUUAAAUUUUGUCUUUGACAGUAACAUAAGAAGAGGAAAUUGUUGGGAAACCCAUCUUGAAUGAAGCCAAAUAUUCCUAUGUUGAUGUUUGAGAGCCCAGCCUGUGAAAUAAUAAUACCCCCUGUUCUAGCUAGAAAAGGCAAGAAGACAUUGUUCCUUUGCUACUUCCAGGGACCCCCAUAACAACCAACAGCACAUCACAGUUGUACAUUUGACAUAUUGCUUGCAGUGGAGUUAGUACGGAAACACAACACUGACAGGCCAUAGUUAAAAGCUUUUCAAGAUUCUAUGUUUUUACCUCCGUCGCCUUGUCCGUCGCCUUGCCCGUCGUCUUGCCCGUCGCCUUGCCCGUCGCCUUGCCCGUCGUCUCGUCCGUCGCCUUGCCCGUCGUCUCGUCCGUCGCCUUGCCCGUCGUCUCGUCCGUCGCCUUGCCCGUCGUCUCGUCCGUCGUCUCGUCCGUCGCCUUGCCCGUCGUCGUGCCCGUCGCCUUGCCCGUCGCCUUGCCCGUCGCCUCGUCCACCGCCUUGCCCGUCGAAUCGCCCACCGCCUUGCCCGUCGUCUUUUCCGCCGCCCAGCCUUCGCUUCGCCCGUCGCCCAGCCUUCGUCUCGUGACCCACGCUGUCUUCACUUCGCCCGUCGCCGCCCCGUCUUCGCCUCGUGGUCGCCCCGUCACCGCCUCGUAUUUUUGGUAUCGUUGUCUUUUUUUAUGUGUAAUUGUGUAGUAUUAAUUAACCCGUUGGCUGCCACCCACUUUGAUCCCCUUUUUUUUUUAAGCUUUUUAGGGUCCGGCAGCGCUGUUCUGCCCAAUGGUCUAUAUGCCAUGGGUGGGACAGUUGCACAAGCCGUGUGGCUCAAAGUCGAUCGUCGAGGCAAUGUACCAGUAGGGACUUUCCCUUUUUCGAUGCUUUGAUGGUUGCCUGGAGUGUACAUUCUCACAAAGGCUUCUGUCAUCGUGUCAACCCGGAUUUGUCGUAGGACAAGUCCCCCUUGGUCGCUAUCCAUUCGAUAGCGAUGUAGCUAGCGUAGAUUUAGUGGCGUGGCAGCCAACGGGUUAGUUUUAUGUAUGUGUGUUUUGUAUUGUAUUGUAUUUAAAAUCUAAAAUCUUGUGGUGGAUUUGUGGGUGGAUGGAGGGACAAUAAA
rnacentral:lncRNA from 1 species